UUUCCCCACUCUGUUGGUUGUCGCA
rnacentral:piRNA from 1 species